UCGACUAGUCCAAAAAUGAAAUUGCAGGCAGUGCACUGAAACUUCUUGAACUCGCAUGAGAAAUCAGAUAACGACGCUGAAAACCGACAGUGAUAAAGAAAAGAAGAAUCGUGAUUUUUAAAGAAACCUGCAGAACGUUCUGUCUCUCUUAUCUCUUAGCUCUCUCUCUCUCCCCCCCUAUAUAUACGCAAAGGCACGCAGGCUUCAGAACCAUCAAAGUAACAAAAGAGAAGCAAAGCAAAAUUGUAGAAGAGAACAAACUUGUGAAAGAGCAUCUUAGUUUUCUGGGCAGUAAAACGAUGUCUCUAAUCCCAAGCUUUUUCGGUGGCCGAAGAACAAACGUGUUCGACCCAUUCUCGCUAGACCUGUAUGACCCGUUCGAAGGAUUCUUAACGCCUUCAGGGAUGACAAACGCAACCUCCAAGGAC
rnacentral:lncRNA from 1 species